rnacentral:rRNA from 1 species
AGCGAACGCUGGCGGCAGGCUUAACACAUGCAAGUCGAGCGGGCGUAGCAAUACGUCAGCGGCCGACGGGUGAGUAACGCGGGGGAACGUACCUUUUGAUUCGGAACAACACAGGGAAACUUGUGCUAAUACCGGAUAAGCCCUUACGGGAAAAGAUUUAACGCCGAAAGAUCGGAUCGCGUCUGAUGAUCUAGUUGGUGAGGUAACAGCUCACCAAGGCGCCGAUCAGUAUCUGGUCUGAGAGGAUCAUCAGACACAACGGGACUGAGACACGGCACAAACUCCUACGGGAGGCAGGAGUGGGGAAUAUUGGAAAAUGGGGGCAACGCUGAUCCAGCCAUGCCGCGUGAGUGAUGAAGGCCCUAGGGUUGUAAAGCUUUUUUGUGCGGGAAGAUAAUGACGGUACCGAAAGAGUAAGCCCCGGCUAACUUCGUG